GGUGUCGGAGACGUUCCACUUCUCCACCAUCGGCAGAGCGCUGGAGUCCCGGAGCCUGCCGACUAGCGACGCGGGUCGAUUAGCCUGCCUCCUAUGGCGGCACGGCCUGCCGUACAGCUGGCUGCUCUACCUGGUCUGGUGGCGCUUGUAGAGCCAGACCGCGGCGGCGGCGGGCCGGCUGUCUCGCUCCUCUCUCUCCGGCGGCCGGCGGGUCUGAUGGAGUGGUCACUCAGACGCGCCCGCCUCUGUCCCGGAGGCGGACCGUCGCCGACGACGACCGACGACGUCUCAGACUUUUUCAUGGCCGUUCGGGCGGCCGCGGCUGCCCCCCGUUUUACAGCACUGUGUUAGCGGCCGCGGCGCCGCUGCCGAUGUCGGUAAUACAGCCCCGCUGGGGCAGGGAGGCAUACGGGCGGGCGCUACGUCCGAGUGACUGCGAACGCUCAGAGCGCGGGGGUCAAGAGGAACAGUCGGUGGUCAGGGAGAAUGUGCAGGGCCAGGGGCCAUGGGCCAUGACAUAAGGCUCAGCAGGGGACGAUCAGGACCGCGUGCGACAGUCCUAAACAGUGUGGCCCAUCGCUUAGGUUGUUUAGUUUGGAGUUAUAUUUUCGUUCUAGAUUGAGAUGUCUUUAUUGCGUGUCCACGAACGAUUUUCGUGUCUCACAGUGGAUCUCAUGAUGUGAGUGUAAUUGGGAAGGGCCCACGGGAAUGAUCCUCAGGUCUCGCUGCGCGGACUGAGCCGGGGGUCCAUGGUGAGCUGACUGACAGCUGUGGGGAUCAUCAGCAGGGACCUGACGAUGGCUCACCGAGUGGGGAUGGGCCCGUUGGACAAGCCAGUGGUAAACUGACGGACCUUUGUCUACUGAGCUGGUUCAAUGAAUUAUCCAGGGCUCGCCGGAUGAGCAAUGGACUACCAGACGGACUAAGGGUCAGUGGAUUUGUUACCGUACGGACCUGUAUUCACCGGUGUCUAUGUUCCUGGGCUGGUGAGGCGGGUCUCAGCUCACAGGACUUGGCUCGCCAUCGGGAUGUGACGUGUGUCUCAGUGCCUUUGUGAAUAUAUCUAGAAUCUCUUCACUGUGCGCGCCGCGUGACUCGGGUGAGUCAGGCUGAGUCAAUCACUCUGUGAGUCUGAUUCAGAGAGCUACGCUAAUACUUGUAAUGUAGAUGUUCUUAAUAAAUGUGAAGAAAUACACCAAUGUGAGAUUAAUGUGAAAUUGUAUGUGUUUAUUAUCGCA